rnacentral:rRNA from 1 species
ACACUCCUGCGGGAGGCAGCAGUGGGGAAUAUUGGACAAUGGGCGCAAGCCUGAUCCAGCCAUGCCGCGUGAGUGAUGAAGGCCCUAGGGUUGUAAAGCUCUUUCACCGGUGAAGAUAAUGACGGUAACCGGAGAAGAAGCCCCGGCUAACUUCGUGCCAGCAGCCGCGGUAAUACGAAGGGGGCUAGCGUUGUUCGGAUUUACUGGGCGUAAAGCGCACGUAGGCGGACUAUUAAGUCAGGGGUGAAAUCCCGGGGCUCAACCCCAGAACUGCCUUUGAUACUGGUAGUCUUGAGUUCGAGAGAGGUGAGUGGAAUUCCGAGUGUAGAGGUGAAAUUCGUAGAUAUUCGGAGGAACACCAGUGGCGAAGGCGGCUCACUGGCUCGAUACUGACGCUGAGGUGCGAAAGCGUGGGGAGCAAACAGGAUUAGAAACCCCUGUAGUCCAUGA